AUGUAACGAGAUCUUAGUUGGUGUUUAAUGUCAAGCUGGUACACUUUCUUUCUGCUUUAAAGUUUCAUUGCUGCAUGUUAAAUGUCAUUUGUCCUCUCAUGUUACGUAAUCUGAAUGCCAUGUUAUGACUGUGAAGAAAUCAUUUGCACUUACCUCUCGGCUCCAGGAUAUGAUACCUGCUGGACCGCAGCCUAUGGUGUCAGUUUUACUCUUUCAGUAAGCAUAAACUCAGAUUGUUGGUUGAUUUGAAUGCAAAACUUAUAUCAUCCGUGUUCUUUAAAACAGACUGGUAAUAUUUGGUAGGAUUUGAAUGCGGGCUUAAAUGAAAGGACUUACUAGUUACCAGUUG
rnacentral:lncRNA from 1 species